AUGGUUCUCAAGACAGAGCUCUGCCGUCUCAGCGGUGCGAAGAUAUACCCAGGGAAGGGUAUCAGAUUCAUCCGUUCAGACUGUCAGGUAUUCCUUUUCUCGAACUCCAAGUGCAAGCGCUACUUCCACAACCAUCUCAAGCCCGCUAAGCUCACAUGGACGGCCAGGUUCAGGAAGCAGCACAAGAAGGAUAUCCAUGUUGAGGCUGCAAAGAAGAGGCGGCGCACAACUAAAAGGCUGUAUUCCAGGUCUAUUGUCGGUGCUUUUCUUGAUGUCAUCCAGAAGAAGAGAGCUGGGAGCAUCUCCAGCCAUUGGCCCCCCAAGGGGCGUCUAAAAUCGCCGUCUGGGGUGACCCGGCGCAAAAAGUGGGCCUGGGGUGAGAUCAAGGAGCGCAUCAAGAAGACCAAGAACGAGAAGCGAGCUAAGAAGGUGGUGGUGACGAUGUAUCAGAAAGCUGCCGGGAGAGUCAACGCCCCUAAACCCGGGAAGGCCCCCAAGGUUGGCGGCGGCGGCGGGAAGCGCUAG
rnacentral:rRNA from 1 species